rnacentral:misc_RNA from 1 species
GAUGAAGAACGUAGCGAAAUGCGAUAAGUAGUGUGAAUUGCAGAAUUCCGUGAAUCAUCGAAUCUUUGAACGCACAUUGCGCCUUCUGGUAUUCCGGAAGGCAUGCCUGUUCGAGAGUCAUUAACAACCGUUUCGAUCCCUUUCUUUCAGAAAUUACAAAGAGGAAAAGGGUUUGGUUAUGGUGGAGGAGGGAAAGGGAGCGUUUAGCCUGUAAAAAAAGAGGCUGUGUUCCGCCUCCCCCCCAAAAUUGUACAGGCGGUCGUGUGCGCCCACGCAUCGAGGUGUUGUAAAAGCUGCCACGGCACUUUUCACCUGUGCAGUGCGAGAUUGGCCAGCCGGUUUAAAAACCCCUCCAAACAAUCAAUGGUUGACCUCGGAUCAGGUAGGGAUACCCGCUGAACUUAAGCAUAUCAUAAGCGGAGGA